UUUUAGCUUUUUACUUUAAAAAAUGACUAAUGUGGAUUUGUUCUUUGGUUACAGUUUACUAAAACUUUUUAAGGAAAGGAUCAUAUUGCAUAGCUCGAAGAAGUCAUCGGCUAAACAAACUGAGGUAAGCUCUGAGAAGUCCUGUGUGGUGAGUCCUGAAGAUGGGCCAGCUCGGUGAAUACUCUGUGAAUCUCAAAGAACCUUUUUCAUGGGAGAAAAAGUCAUUGCCAUUUGGCCUUCUCAAGUUCUUCCAGCUAAAUUUAGGAAGACAGUUUUGGGUCAUGAAGUCUAGAGAAAUGUUUCGAAUACUGAAAAAGAAGAAUUUGUACAAUUAAUAUGCCAUGUAUGAAUUUAUGUGAAUAAAAUUUGAAAUAGAAAUUGCUCGCUAUACUCC
rnacentral:lncRNA from 1 species